GAUGAACGCUGGCGGCGUGCCUAAUACAUGCAAGUCGAGCGAACAGACGAGGAGCUUGCUCCUCUGACGUUAGCGGCGGACGGGUGAGUAACACGUGGAUAACCUACCUAUAAGACUGGGAUAACUUCGGGAAACCGGAGCUAAUACCGGAUAAUAUAUUGAACCGCAUGGUUCAAUAGUGAAAGACGGUUUUGCUGUCACUUAUAGAUGGAUCCGCGCCGCAUUAGCUAGUUGGUAAGGUAACGGCUUACCAAAGCAACGAUGCGUAGCCGACCUGAGAGGGUGAUCGGCCACACUGGAACUGAGACACGGUCCAGACUCCUACGGGAGGCAGCAGUAGGGAAUCUUCCGCAAAGGGCGAAAGCCUGACGGAGCAACGCCGCGUGAGUGAUGAAGGUCUUCGGAUCGUAAAACUCUGUUAUUAGGUAAGAACAAAUGUGUAAGUAACUAUGCACGUCUUGACGGUACCUAAUCAGAAAGCCACGGCUAACUACGUG
rnacentral:rRNA from 1 species